GAAGAAUCAAGACCUUGGGCGUGUUGCUUCGGUCCUUGAAGGGUCGCGACAAUUACUUCCAGAUAAAAAGUUCAAAUGAGCACUUGACAAUGUCCAGGAAUCCUACUGUGCUCCCAAAGGCAACACACUGACCUACUGCUGAUGACAGUGAUGGCAUGCCUUCACCUCUUGCCCCCAGCUGGCCCACAUCUGCCUACUUCUCAGUUAAUGACCUCAUCCUAUUAUCAUUCGGGAAAAAGAAGCCCUCAGAGUAGAGAACCUGAUCGCCCUCCUUCAAGAGAAGAGCCUCUGCUCUGAGGGCAGGCGAGCUGCCAUGCUGUGAGCUGCACUAUGGAGAAGGCCACCAGGCAAGCGCCUGAGGGAUCAAAGCUAGGGAAGAACUGAAACCUGCAGCCCAAAAGGCCACAAGGAGCUGAAUCAUGCCACCCACCAGUUUGGAAGCAGAUCAUCCUGCAGUCAAGCCUUCAAGGAGCCCACGUGCUGGCCAGUGACCUAACUGUAAUCCUCCUAAAGAUGUUGAGCCAGAGGCACCUAGCUGGGCCUCACCCUGAUGCUUGAGCCACUAAAACUGUGUUUGUUGUUUUAAGCCAUUAAGUUUGGGGUUAAUUUUGUUAAUCAGCAAUAGCUGACCAAUACAGAGACCUAGAGAGUUUAGGCAUAAUUGCCCCAAAUUCAUCCCUACAGUGCUUCCCCAUCAGUUACCUCCCUGUGAAGGGAACGGAAAAAGAAGCGAAGUGGUGAAAGUAGGAAAGACAUUUAGGAACAGAUGCUUUCUUACCUCUUCCCCUUUUUCAAGCACAUCAAAGAGAAGGCAUUAGUCCCACUGAAGAUGCCAUCUUGCUACAACCUCAAGAUAGAGAAACAUCUGCAAUAAUUUUAGGUAUUUGCAGCAAUGACUCAAGAAGGAAGCAGACAUUUUUUCCCCACUACUACCCCUAUCCAUCUCCAUCUUGCACCUCUGGCAUUUUCCCUAAGGUUGUCAUCCUUGCAGAAACAGCUGCAGAAGCAGAAAUGGAGGGCACAGGAGGCAUCCAGGAGUAGUGAAGUGAGAACAAAAGGAUGGUAGAGCAGAAGUGCUGUGUUUUAUUUCUUUUUCUGCCUCAGUGUAGUUCUUAGCACAACAUAAGUUCUUACCACACUGCCAACUAGCUAGGCAUCUCAUAAAUUAUGAGCUAAUUAUUUGGGCUCACAGAAGGACUUGUUCAGAUCUACUUUUACAAUUACCAGGGAAACAAAAUGAGAAUUACAUCUCUGUAAGUUCUAGCUCUCAAUUUUAUGGAAACACGUAUUGUUAGAAGGGGCCUCAUCAGUGAUACAAUGAAAAAUGUACAAGCGAGAGAGAAUAUCUCAUUAGGACAAAGUGAAAAGAUGCUACAGAGGCAUUCAGCAAAUUCUCAGUUGCUUCACAGGUUAUGAUGAACACCUUAGAGUUACUCUGAUGAAUGACAAAAGAUCUGAACUAUCACAACCUUCUGUCAGACCAGAAUGGACUUUCUUCCAUGUAUGAAUAUUUUUUAGUGACAGCAAUGUAAACUUAAACAAAAACAAAAACAAAGCCUUGAUUUUAUUUAUUUAUUUUUUGGGUUACCUUCCAGGCAGCAGAGGCUAUAUGACAAAGUACUGACCAGUGAAGUGAAAGAAGAAGUCUAUGGUAGGGCUUUUAAGAAAAUACAGACUUCCUGAUUUUAAAAAAGGAAUAAACUUAACUGGCAUAUGCCUUUGCUCUUUCUUUCUUUCUUUUUUGCUUGACUGGAAUGCAGUUACAAUGUCUGACGAUGCAGCAGCCAUCUUGUGACCAUUGGAAAAUCUAUUUGCCAGAGAACUUUUUCCUGCCCAGGCAGAAGGAGAACUUGGACCAAUCACAAACUGUGUUCCUACAGAGGGAUUCUAGGUGUAAAAGGGGACAGUCAAACCAGGCACUGCGCUGAUCACUCUGGAUGAAAUCUUCGGAUGAGAACCCAGGUGACACAGGACUAAGCGGAGUGAUGCCUGACAGUGAGGAAGAAAUGUGUACCUGAGGCCAGCAGGGGGAAAAGGCCUUUGCCCGAAGUCACACAGGACCAUCUGGCUCCGGAGUCCACACCACACCCACCUCCCUGAGUUGCCUCCAGAGCCUUCCAGUGUUGGCACACCCUUGAUUCUACAAGGCAGGGCAUCAUUGCCUUUGUUCUACCCAAGGAAAUGACCCAGAAGGAAGCCUACUUUGCCUCUAGUGCUCCUUUGAAGUCCUGAGCCAAGAGCUGACAGCAAGCUGCACCUCCCGCUUCCUCCAUUCAGCCUUUAGUGUCAGGACUGCCUGCCCAGCCCUGGCCCUGGCACCAGGCAGCACAGCCGGAGCUCUGGCCCCCAGGGUGUCUCUUCUCCACCCCAAAGCCUAGGAGACUUCACCCCCUUCUGGUGUCUGUUAUGUACAGUCUUCCAAGCAGCAUCCACCUCCACCCUCCCUUCCCAGCCUGGAGAGAGACAUGGGACAGAGGAAGAGAAGACAUGGAAGGCAAGAGCCUGGCCUUCCUAGCCUGCUAUCAGCGCUGGUGUCCAUGGCACAGAGGAGCGUCAUUCUGACGUCUCCAUUGUAAGUCUUCGAUGGUUAUCCUCUCACCUCUCCUGGUGAGAGGUGAGGGGCUGGAAUUUGGGAGAGUGAAGGGCCAGUAGCAACCCUCUGAGAACAGCCUGAAGUGCUCAACCACUUAGGAGCAUCUGCAUUUCUAAAAGAAAAUAAGUACAAGAAAAGCACUCUACAAUGAACAAGAGGGAUUUUAGGGAUGGAGAGCUCCAGGUGGUUUCCAGAUGCAGCAUCUGAUCAUGGGACUGGGUGGCUGCUGCACAGAAAUGGCAGCCGUCAAGAACCGCAGGGCUGGGUGUCUUAUCCUUGUGAGUAACGUCCAGGACAAUGGACAGAGCUGGGAUGGCUGCUCCCUCACAAGGCAGAUAUCAAGUCCUCUGCUUUAGGAGUUACCCUGAGUUCGUAAUACAGCCCCUGGAUGGGCAGAGGAAAGGAGUGUAUUCAGGUGUGUCAGCCUCAGCAGGAAGUUACUGCUGAAGUGGGUAGAAGAGGCUGUGCCAGACCAAGGGAAAGCUGCCGCACUGCUCCCUAAAGUGCAGUAGAGGGCAGGAAUGGGAGGAGCAUAUGCAAUUAGCUUCCUCCUGAAAGCAGUUCAAGGCAAGUCUGUCAUAGCAUGGGCCAAAUCUGGGCCAGUGUUUUGAGGAGGUGGAGGCUCUGGAAUCUCCUAGCUGGUUUACCUUGUACCAACUCAUGAAAUCCAACAAAUAUGUGUACACACCACUAACAAUAUCUAUUGUCUUCACUUCACAUGCACAAUGUAAUUCCAGCCUGUGGGAAGUUUAAUUAAGGAGAGGUCGCUAAUGGCAUAUAGCACAGGAUGAGGAAGUCUUUGCCAUUAAGUGCAGAAGGAAAGUAGCACGCAUUAUAUAAAAACAGAAAACUUUGUUCUUUGCACAGUAUACCUCAUUUUGGUCUUGAUCAGAGCUCCCUUAGGGAUAUAGAAGAAAUGUGAAGUGGCCGAAGAGGAAGGUUAGAUGGCCUGGGACAGAGAAGUGAAGACAAAAUGGACAGGAACUGUGGGAGGAGAGCUCUGUGAUAGCACCAGGGUGACCAGGCAUGUGUCCAUGACGUCUCAGCCUUACCACAGCAGGUGGAUUAACUGUUUCACCUGUGAUUAUUUGAAAACUGUGGACAGCUGAACAUGAAAUGGCUUUCUUAUUUUAUUGGAUUUUUUGGUAAUAUAUUUUUAACACCUAGACACACAUUUCUGUGCAUCUAGAACACUGUCCUGCAGAGCCUGAUUUGAAAAGCAGUAAGUGUGAUGGUUAAUUUUAUGUGCCAGCUUUGCUAGGCCACAGCACCCAAAUAUUUGGUCAGACUUUAUUCUAGAAGUUUCUGGAGGGUGUUUGGGAUGAGAUUUAUAUAUAAAUAAGUAGACUCCCUGAAUAACGCUGAUUGUCCUCCACAAUGUAGGUGGGCCUCACUCACUCAGCUGAGGGCCUGAGUAGUGCAAAAGGCUUGCCUCCCCCUGAACAAGAGGGGAUUCUGCCAGCCCUCAUCUUUGGGCUGUUGUAGGAAAACUACAGCAUUUUCCUGAGUCUCAGCCUGCUGACUGUUUCCAUCAGAUUUCUGACUCACCAAACUCACUCAUAUGAACCAAUCUCUUAAAAUGACUAUCUAUCUUUAUCUAUAGCAUCUGUUUCUACAUAUCCUAUCUGUGCCUCUGGAGAACCCUCAGACACUAAGUUAAUGUAAAUUUGGGAAGUGGAAUGGAGUCUGUUUCCAGGUUGUCAGUUUAAGUGUUAUUCAUGGUAAAAAAAAAAAAGAGCAAUAAGACCAUACAUGUUUCUAGUGUGCUAUACAGAUUUUGUUAAAAACCCAGGCAUUGAGACCAAAUAUUAAAUAUAUUAGAACAAAAAAAGAUGAAUCUUAAAAGCAAAACACCAACAUAAAAACUAAGGGAUCAAAAUAUCAAAUGAGAAAAAUUCUGGACUCUUACUGAGGUCUUAUCUAAAGCAAGCCAGACAAACAUAAAGCUUUUAGAUGACAGGCAGGCAGAAGCUUCAAUUCAGGGCUGGCUUAUGUGUUCCUGCUGUACAAGUAAAGCCAUAGAAAGAGGGAGGUGAGGUCGUGUGCUUCUGCACAAUAAAGGCACAGCCAGAGAAAAAUCAGUGCAAGGUUUGGAAGAGAAAGGCCCAAGACAAGGUCCCAGGACCCUCGCUGAUCUCACCCAGCAGGAGACAAGGGACCAGGAGCAGGUCAUACACCCUUCUGUGCAGAGGCUUCACCACCUCCUCACAGAUGCUACUUUGAAGCCUCCAGAGUUCUUACAGCUUCUAUUAGCCAUUUCUAAGUAUCUCAACACCAUACUUCUUAACUGUGCCUAUGGUCCACCCAUGACGGGACACACUGACUAUCCUUGCCUGAUUUCGGUACAGUAUAGCCUCCUAAAAAGUAUUUGAUGUUUACAAUAAAAACACAAGGACAUACAUUUAAAAAGAGUCAAAGACAAAAGUCAGCAAGUAAAGGAGAAAGGGAAGAUUAUAUUCUGUUUUAAGAGAAAGGCAAUAGAAAGAAUAGCUAAAUUUGAAAUUCAAUAAUUCAAUUUAAUAAGCAUUUAAUACAGACUCCUUUCCAAAUCUGUGACUUCAUCAGAAGAGCACAGAGAUUAAGAAGGCUUCUAUUUACUAAGCUGUGAUCUUGGGCCCUUACUUAACUGCUCUGUGACUCUGUUUCUCUAUCUGUAAAAUGGAGAUAAUAAGGGAAAAAAAUAGAAUUUCCCCAGAAUUUAGCACAACUUCAAAUUACUGCCUAUUUCUGUCAUUCCAAACCUAGUGAAAGUUCCUGAAAAUCUAGCAGAGAGAGGGGAUGCCAACAUGUAUUGUGCACCUACUGUAUGCUAGUACUCUAAAAGUUAUCUUAUUUAACAUCCUAGACUUGUGAGAAAACAUGUUUCUCAGUACAUAUAAGAAAUGGAGUUUUAGAGAUCCUAAGGCUUAGAUCGGCAGCUGGGAGUGACCUAAAAUCUACCUCUCGUGAAGCAUAGCAUGAAGCGGUGUUCCACAGAGCAGGAUCUCUGGGUCACACUACCUUAGAGUCACUUGAUAUGCUUGUUAAAAUGAAAGGUUCCUGGACUUUCACAGAGACCUGCUUAAUUUCAAUCUCUUUACAGUAACAGAAUUUCAAUCUCUAGAUGGAAGUGGUUUUAAUAAGUCACCCACAGCCAUGAUUCCUCUGCACCAUCUAGAGCUGUUGGUCUGUUGAUCUGGAUCAUGGACACUGAAAUCAGGCCUUAUCAUGGUUUUGCUAGAUUCUAGAAUGUGACCUUGGGCAUAUUACCUAACCUUUCAGAGAUUCUUUGCCUUAUCCAACACAUGGAAAUAAUAGAACCUUAUCAUAAGGUUGAUGCAAUGAUUAAAUAAUGAAUGCUUAGUACCAAGUUCAAGAUCUGAAACAUAGUAAUUAUUAUUUCCUCCCCAUAGCAUUAACUUUAUUUCUUCCUUGCUUUCUCACUCAACUUAAGGAUUCACUGUGUUUGGUUUCUUCCCUGUCACUCACCUGAAACCAGACAAACAGAUACGACCAGUGGCCUCCUUGACAAACCCAGCAACCUCCUCUCUGCUCUCGUGCAGCUUUGUAUCCAUUUUGUCUAUCAUUUAUUCAUUAAAACUGUAUUGUUUUAAAGAGAACAUCUGCUCUGGCCCAUUCACUGGGCUAAUUAGAAGAUACAAUCUUGAAUACAGGAAGGUAAAUCCCUGCCCUCAUGGAACCUUCCAGUUUGUGUUGAGGUCAUUGAUUUCAAUAAGUACCCACAUGUAAGCACAUCAACAAAUUGUACUAAGAAAGGAAAGACCGGCCUGGUCUAAAAGAGAAUACGGAAGGGGUAUUUCGACAAAGAAGGCCAGGGAAGGUCUAGGACCCAGGAAAGAUCCAAGGACAAAGAGUCAUUUUUAAAUAAUGAACAACAGCAUGUGGGAAGACCCCGAGGGAGAAAAGGGCUUGUCACCUUGGAGGAAAUAAAAGAAUGUCCAUGUGCCUGGACAAGAGGAAGGACAAUAUGAAAUGAACCAGGACAAUGGGCAUAGGCUUAGCUCUGUAGAGCCAGGAGGAGGGUUUGGCCUGAAUUCCACGGGCAGUUCAGGGCCUCCAGAAGUUUCUGAGCCAGAGGAUGGUACAGUCACUGUGGCUGCAGUCCGGAGGAUGGGUUAGAAGGGGGCCAGAAGAGAAGCUGAGAGAGUUGAUUUGGAGAGCUUGAAUGUGGGCAUGAAAGUGGAGCUGGAUGCACAAAUGGAAGAAUUCUAGAUAAAUCUUCAGUGGAGAUAGAGAGAAUUUGGAGAUGCUUUGGAUGUGGAAUAUAAAGCAGGAAGAGAUGCCAUGAACUAUUCUCAUGCUCAUACAUGAGCAACUGGCUGCGUAGUAGAGCCAUUUCCCAAAAAGAGGCUCCAGUAACUCUCUGGGGAAAAACAGGAUCUGUAUAUUUCUAGAAAUCUCCCAGAUGAUUCUGAUGGCUAGCCCUUGUAAGAAGAGGCAACCUGGAGAGGUGGUACAGAGGAUAGUAUUUAACUUUAAUGGCUAAUGAUUAUCUUUCUAUGGAGGUAAUUUACCUUAUUCAAAUCUUGCCAUUUGAUGUCUGUCACUGGGAAAGUUGGUUUCCUCACCUAUAAAAUGGAAAUAGCAACAGAACCUGCUUUAUAGGAUGUUGUAAGGUAUCAAUCUUAUAAAACAUUUGGAACACUUCCAAGCCACCAUUUUUAGAUCAGUCAGUUGAACAGGCCAGGUGCCUUCACAUUUCGAAGCCCUUGCCCUGCCAUUUCUCCAUGUGAUGAUUUCCUAUAUUCUCUUCAGAGACAGCUUUUCUUGACUAUUCCCCCUACCACCCCUGACCCCAGCCAAUAACUUGGGCCAUGUCUCCUGCUUGCAUGAUUACAGGAAUUAACAAAGGCUAUUAGAGUUUCUUAUUAGUUUGUCUCCUUAACAAGACUUGGAACUACUGGGAAUAGCUGGCCUUAUACAAAUAAAUAUCCACAGAACUUAGUCUGAUGGCAUAGCUUGAAGUCCAGAAUGAAUUUGUUGAAUUUAAUUAAGUUUAGCUAAAAUAAAAUAUUGAAACCUUCAGGGAAUGAAUCUCACAAAGUAAGUUUCCUUGUGUAUUAUAUGGUAUCAUAUGGAUGCAGACACAGCAAAUUACGCUCAAGGGAUAUAAAAAAUUCACCCUAAAUGUCUACUUAAGCCCAACUUGAAGUCUAGACCAGUCAUGCCAAGCAUAACACCUUUCUUAUCUGCCUCUCACCUCUGCUUGCUUCUUCCUGAGCAAUGUGGGGCCCAUGCCUUUCUGAGGAACAGGAGAAAGGGGGUUGGGGAGGCAGAGACAUACUCCUACAACUUUACAGAAUCUUCCUUCACCCCUUAAUGGGGGCAGAGAAGGUGGAGGUGCUGGAACAAGUAUGCUGAGGCUGGUUAGAGUCCUUUCUUCCCAUGGGCCCAGGUAUAGAGAGUUCAAACACCAGUAGACAAAUAGCAGUAAUAUUGUAGGUAUAGCAAACACCCCAGAACAACCUUUGUAAUAGGACACAUGGUUUCUACCAUAUGCCCUUGUGUGGAAACAGAACUUGAUCUCUUUCAUGUUAAUACUUCUGGAGCCUCCAGCCUCCAGAAAAUAUAUGUGACAUACUGAUCGUGCAUUUUAAGCCAAAAUAAUUUCAGAAUUUGGUUUAAAGCAUACUAAUGCUCCUGGGGGCUCCAAUCUCCAGAAAUUAUGCAGGAGGUACUAGUCAUAAAUUUUAAAAUUAUUUGAUAAAGGAUUUGGAUCACUGGGGGAAAAGAUGAAAAGAACUUUCACUCUAUCCUUUAAUCUCAAGGCAAAUGGGCAUCGCAGGAGGCAGUUUAACAUGUACAAGCAAACAAUCUGUGAAGUCACAUGGACCUGUGUCCAAUCCUGGGUCCAAAUCAUUCACUUUUUAGUUCUGUGCUCUAAUUAAAGUUAAUAAUGAUGAUUAUAAUACAGCUAACACAUGUGUUUAUUCCAUACCAGACUCUGUUCUCAGUGCUUUACAUGUAUUAUUUUACUCUGAAGAAAAAUAAAAGUCUUAAGGGAGAUAUUACUAUCAUAUUUUAUAGUGAAGGAAACAAGGCACAGAAAGGUUUAGUUAACUAGUUCAGGCUGGUUAACAGCAGAGCCUGGAUUUAAACCCAAGCAGCAUAGGAUUUAAGCCCAUAUAGUCUGGCUCCACGUUCCCGUGCUUAUACCCACCGCAUUUCCCUGCCCACAUGUGCCUCAGGAGCACAUUGUCUGACUCUCAGAAUCUGAGUUUCCUUGUCUGUAAAAAGGCCAACCUUAGUGGGGCCUCAAAGGAUGAUGUCAGUAGAACCCUAAACCCCAAAGAGCACCCAGACUAGGCCAAAUGCCUUUAAUUUUCAACUUGUAUGCUUACAAUGUAUGAUCAGCAUUCUAAAUAAAUUCUACUAAAAGUCAAGUUAUCUGACUGAUGAACAGCAAAUGUAUGGGUGGGCUGGACAAAUUGGAGGCUUUAAAAUAUACUUCUCUGAAACUUCAUUUGAUCCAGAAGGCAGUCUUAGUCUGUGAAGCCAAAUAUCUCCAUAUCCCUAAGUAAACUGUGGCUUUUAGUACCAGCAGAAGCCCACCAACAGGUAACAACCCAGGGAAGGUAUGAGACAAAAGCUAGGAGAGCCCAGAGGGAGACCAAUUAUUUAGACCUGCAGGGACCAGUUAGAAAAGUCCUUGAAGCAUGAUCAUAAAUUUCUAGGAAGGGAAGAGGGAAGGCUAAAGUGAUGAGAGGAAUUUGCAUAGUCAAGGUCACUGAGGCAUUGAGAACUCACUCCACACAGGGUUGGAGAAGAGAGAACACUGAACAGCAGGAAUGAAGGAGGCCUGGGAAGCAGGACCAGCGAGAGGGUACAAAGGGCCUUGAAUUUCACACAACAGAAGGUAGACUUAAUUCUGUGUGCUAGAGGGAGACGUCAAGAGUUUAUUUAAAGGGAAGGACAUCAUCAGAUCUGUGCUGUAGGAAAACAAUUAGGAGACCAAUUUUGAGGUAUAGAGUAUAAGGGCACAUCUGGUUUUCUUUCACACAGAUUAAAGUAUACACUAAAAUCUACCAGUAUAUCAAAAUCUUGACAGAAAAGGGCCAAAAGGUAUUUGUCACUGGACCAAAAAUGAAAAUAAGUCAUUAUAACCUCUAAAGAAAAUUAAAGUAAGAAACUGUAGUUGUUAGCAAAACUGCCACAUAAAACUUCAGACUCAAGAAGAAAUGUAGAAUUACGCACAUAUUUCCACCAGAGAACGGAAUCUGGACAGAGUGGGUGAAGUAAGCAAAGAAGUAAAAAAAUGUGUUCAAAGCUGAAGAACCGCCUUGCUUGUCACCAAGAGCCAACAGUGUUUUCUUUGAAUCAGCUCUCAUAUUCCCCUGAAGAGAAGUUGAUAGUGUUGUGGAAAAUUCAACUAUUGAACUCACAAUGAAAACUGCAACCCAAUCUGAGUAGACCGGUAUUAUGUCAAAAUGACAAGUUUCUGAACUUUUGACCCCCUCACUGAAAAGGUGGAGUGAGAGAGUGUUUCAAAAGAAUCAAGUUUGAAUAAUAGAAAAUAACUACCACUUGCCCACCACACGCAUUUGACCUCGGAGGAAUGGGAAUAGGGCACUUUAAUGUAGUUGUCCAUGCUGGUCACUGAUUUUCCCAUGUAUUCCAAACACAAAUACCAUUUCUUCAGUGUCCCUCCCAGUACCCUCCUUCUAAGUGACAUGUUCCCAUAUUGAAUAUCUUUUCCCAUAUUUAAUCAUCCUUAGUACUUAUAUGGGUAAUUUGUCUGAAGUAUUUGUUUUUCUCAAACACAGCCUUUUAAAUGUUCUUUAUAUAUACAUCAUUUGUCUCCCCAGUUUAACUGUAAACAUUUUAAAACUGGGAAUAUCUGGGUGUAUUUCUCUAAAUUUUUCACCUUGCCUUAAGUGGCAUGUAAAAAAUAAAAAAAAACAACAAAACAGUGGUAACAAAAAUGGCUAAGGUUUUCUGAAUGCUAAGCAUGUGGUCAGCAUUGUUUCAAGAGCUGUACAUGGAUGAACUCAAUUAUUACAACUACGUGAGGUAGAAACUGCUGUUGCCCUCAGUUUACACUUGAGGAAACUGACUCAUGGGAAGGUCAAUCAUCUUUCCCAUAGUCACACCGCCAGUAAGAGUGUGAUCUCAGGCAGUCUGAUGCCAGAAUUGGGCUCCAAUGUACCCUUAAUAUGUAUUUUUUUUCCUUGAAUUCAAAUUUCGAAAGGAAAAUGGAGUUGAAAAUCAGAGGCGGCCCCAGCUAGGAACUGCUGACAAGAUUUGGGAUAAAGUAAGAUUUAUCCUUUUUAAAAAUUGGAGAAACAAUCUUUCUAUGGUCUCUGCAAGAUCUCAUAGGCUGUCAUAGCGUAGGGUCACCUUUGACAGCGACACCAAGGGAAACGUGGCUUGCUUGCCCCCUGCCCACACUGCACUGCCUCUACCUUAGUUUGCUGUCACUUCCCAGGAUCUGGAGAUCAAUGUGAGGGAAGGAAGUGCAGUGGUAGUAAGAAGAGUUAUCCCCAAACAUAUCCUCUCCUCACCUAAAUGGUGAGCCCUUCUCUCACUUUCUGGUCAGCUAAGGACUGUGAUUGGCAUGUGAAAAGAGGGAGGAGGAAGAGCAUCAGCGGCCCAGGAGGAGUUCAGAGAAGAGAACAGGACCUGGGCAGGCCUGGCACCGCUCUUUGCUACAAACAUCCUGCCAACCACCAUGGAAGUGCCUGCUUUCCUCAAGGUCCUGUAAACCGGCACAGUGCAAAACCCCUGGGAAGUGGGGCUGAGCUGCAGUGCUGCAGCUGACAAGGCAGCAGGUGACAGCUGUGAUUCCAGAGAAGUCCCCCUCCCAGAGCAUACCUUUGAUAGCUGCCUCCUCAUCUGCACCCCUUCUCCUGCCUCCCACCCACCAAGCCAGCGUGCCUAAGCCUCAGCAGAGUCUCCUAAUGCUCCGCAUGGGGUGGAAAAGCAGAGGAGCAAAGCUGGAGGUCACGGCUGGGAGGCCCCACAGGUUUGCAGCUCCUCCUGGAUGAGGUAACUUAGAUAUUUAAUGAUAUUCCUCCAUUUCUUCUGACUUCUAUUGUUGCUCUUCAAAAAUCAUUGCAAUGACCUUCGAUGCACAUCUGAUGUUAUGAUAUAUGACAUGACACAUCAUGGGAAUUUCACUACACAUGACAUGAGUGACAGUCAGACAAUGGCACACCCCAGAAAAUGCAGCCAUAUGAAAGAGAAACUCCCAUCAGAGUAACGAAUAGAAUGUAGUGUGAAUGAUGCUGCUUCAAUGCUGGCCUUGGCUUCCAAGAGGACUGGCAGCUUCCACUUCCUCCCUGUGGGCUGCUGAUCUGCGCCACCUUUCAGAAAGAUCAGCCGCCUAAUAGAUGGACACUGAACCAGUCCAUGUGGAGAGGAAGACACCUUGAGAUUAUAUAGAAAAGGAGAAAAGCCCAGUCAUCCCAGCAUCCCAAAGAAGACUCGGGAUUACUCCAGCCAGUCACUAUUCACAGCAAUGACUUAAGAGAUGUCAACCAGGUUACCU